rnacentral:rRNA from 1 species
ACUCCUACGGGAGGCAGCAGUGGGGAAUCUUGCGCAAUGGGCGAAAGCCUGACGCAGCCAUGCCGCGUGAAUGAUGAAGGUCUUAGGAUUGUAAAAUUCUUUCACCGGGGACGAUAAUGACGGUACCCGGAGAAGAAGCCCCGGCUAACUUCGUGCCAGCAGCCGCGGUAAUACGAAGGGGGCUAGCGUUGCUCGGAAUUACUGGGCGUAAAGGGAGCGUAGGCGGACUGUUUAGUCAGAGGUGAAAGCCCAGGGCUCAACCUUGGAAUUGCCUUUGAUACUGGCAGUCUUGAGUACGGAAGAGGUAUGUGGAACUCCGAGUGUAGAGGUGAAAUUCGUAGAUAUUCGGAAGAACACCAGUGGCGAAGGCGACAUACUGGUCCGUUACUGACGCUGAGGCUCGAAAGCGUGGGAGCAAACAGGAUUAGAUACCCUGGUAGCGACUGA